GCCGGGAGCAAGUGCACGCCGCGCGGAGGACGAAGAGGCUGCACGCACAGCCGCUGCCGGGGGUCGGGGCCAAGUGCGCGCCUCGCCGAGGACGAAGAGGCUGGCGUGCCCGGUGGCUCGGCUAGCUCCCGGGUCCCGGCCCCGCCUGGAGGAUGCGGCUGUGGGGGAAUGGGAGCGGCCGGACCUCCCAGCCUGACAGUGCAUCAAGAGCUUUGCGGAGCCUACAGCCCGGAUGGGACGACUGAGGCCCUCCCGCUGGCGAGCUGGCCGAGGGCUCGUCCCUCUCCAGCUAAAGCGCCAGCUUACGAUACAGCCAAACUGCCGGCUCUCAUCGGCUGUGGGAGCAGGAGGCCCCCAGGGGUAAAUCCCGGAGCCUCGUCUCUGAAGCCUGGCGCUUGUGUCUCAGAAGAUGGAGUUCCUCUCUUGUGGCCCAGGCUGGAGUGCAAUAGCACCAUCUCGGCUCACUGCAACCUCUGCCUCCCAGGUUCAAGUGAUUCUCCUGCCUUAGCCUCCUGAGUAGCUAGGAUUACAGGUAUGCAUCACCAUGCCCGGCUAAUUUUGUAUUUUUUUUUUCUUUUGAGACAGAGUUUCGCUCUUGUUGUGUGCAAUGGCACAAUCUCGGCUCACAGCAACCUCUGCCUCCCAGGUUCAAGUGAUUCUCCUGCCUCAGCCACCUGAGUAGCUGGGAUUACAGGUGCCUGCCACCAUGCCUGGCUAACUUUUUGUAUUUUUAGUAGAGACGGGGUUUCACCAUGUUGGCCAGGCUGGUCUCAAACUCCUGACCUUAGGUGAUCCACCUGCCUCAGCCUCUGAAAAUGUUGGGAUUACAGGCAUGAACCACUGCAUCUGACUAAUUUUGUACUUUUAGUAGAGACAGGGUUUCACCAUGUUGGCCAGGGUGGUCUCUAACUCCUGACCUCAGGUGAUCUGCCCGUCUCGGCCUCCUAAAGUGCUAUUACAGGCGUGAGCUACCGUGCCCAGCCAUGGGCAUUUGGACUUCUAAUUUUUUGCUGCCAUAAGCUUUAGAGCACUGAGUAAUAUAUAAAAACAGCAAUCAUGUAGUUUUUAAAACUUAGUCUGGGGUUAAAGAAGUAUGUAAACAACUAUGUUUUCUUAAAGAUUUAUAGGAGCAUUGUGACUGGACCAAGGACAAAGAAGUUCCCAACCUCCUCAGACCCUCGCUGCUGCCCAGAUGUCUGCCAUGGGGUGGCCAUCAUCGAAUCCACUGAGGGCGCAAAUAGAACAAAAAGGUGAAGAAAAGGUGAAUUCUCUCCUUUCUUGAGCUGGGACAUCCAACUUCUCAGACAUCAGAGCUCCUGGAGGCCUUCAGACUCCGAGACAUUACACCAUUGGCUCACCUGGUCCUCAGGUCUUUGGACUUGGAAUGAAUUACACCAUUGGCUUUCCAGGUCUUCCAGCUUGCAGAUGGCAGAUUGUGGGACUUUUCAGCCUCCAUAACUUUGUCAUCCAAUUCCCAUAAUAAAUCGCCUCUUAUAUCUGUA
rnacentral:lncRNA from 10 species